rnacentral:tRNA from 1 species
GGGGUUGUGGCUCAGAGGUAGAGUGCUCGCCUAGCAGAUGCAAGGCCCUGUGUUUGAUCCUCAGCACCACA